CCUGGUAGCUCAGCUGGUAAAGAAUCUGCAUGUAAUGCAGGAGACCCAGGUUCGAUUCCUGGGUCAGGA
rnacentral:tRNA from 1 species